AUUAAACGCUGGCGGCAUGCCUUACACAUGCAAGUCGAACGGCAGCACGGGGGCAACCCUGGUGGCGAGUGGCGGACGGGUGAGUAACACAUCGGAACGUGCCCUGGAGUGGGGGAUAACGCAGCGAAAGCUACGCUAAUACCGCAUAUUCUGUGAGCAGGAAAGCAGGGGAUCGCAAGACCUUGCGCUUUGGGAGCGGCCGAUGUCGGAUUAGCUAGUUGGUGGGGUAAAGGCUUACCAAGGCGACGAUCCGUAGCGGGUCUGAGAGGAUGAUCCGCCACACUGGGACUGAGACACGGCCCAGACUCCUACGGAGGCAGCAGUGGGAAUUUUGGACAAUGGG
rnacentral:rRNA from 1 species